UACCCAGAAAAAUAGAAACAUUAGGAAACAAGAAUUUAUGCUAAAUACAAUACAAAAUUAGGGAUUAUACCGGUGCAUCCAAAGAAGCAAAAGCACGACACAGAAAGAAAUGCCUAAAAUUCUAUACAGCCUUAACCCUAAACUACAUUAGAGGCAAAAUCUGGCUGUGACAACACAACAGUAACUACCACCAGAGCACAUAAGAAACCCAUGAAUUACACCUAAAUCUACAAAUUGCAGAAGCAGAGAAACAGUAAGGCAUGCACUGAGCACAGUAACUCCUGCCAGUAAAUCUUGCUUAACUCGUCUUUCUUCAAGCAAGCAGCAAAAAACUCAGAGAUCUGAUUAAUCAUCAAAACUAAAUCAGUACCAGGAUAAAUUUUGCCAGAGCAAGAAUUGCAUCCAUCAUAAGCGCAAUUGCGAACAGAAAAGCUACUGGCAUGACCAAUUUUCUAAAAUGCAUUAAUGUCGUUUGAGCAAGGUUGGUUUUGUUACUACCAAUCAGCCGAGCAGAGCACACAGCGGACAUACCACAUAGACCGUAUAAAAAUGCAGAGGCUCACCAAGUGGUUAGUGACUCCAGCAUUAGCGAACAUUUCCAGAGCUAUCUGGGAACGACUAGAAUAGAAGAAGAGGUCUAGGUGCAAAAAUAGAAAAAUCGAUUCUGGGCCGUCGGAUGGAUCAUGCAUGGUACAGAUUGUACUGAGUGGAAUAUGUGCGCACAAUUGCCAUUCCAGUCCCUGGCUCCUAACUAUUUUCCUCCUGACACCCUUCUUCUUCGAGUCCCUCAGCGGCAGCGCAAGCCCCCUCCAACCCUAUCCCUCCGCCGCACCAGGCCAAUGCCGCCGCCCGCCGACGAUGAUUGGCGAGCUCCUAGAGGAUCUACUCCUUAGACAGUAACCGCUGAUACAGCACGCCGCCCGCCCGACCGCGAACCCCCUUGCAACGGCGACGUAACCAUGGCCACGGUGAUCAAUUUGGAGCUGUAGCCAUUUUUUUGCGAUAAAGCUGUAGAAGAAAUUUAGAUGCCAAACCAGAUCAAGUUUGAGGUAAUGAGCAUCAUUCUGGUGUCAUGGGAAAAAAAUUCGUUGUAUGUGCUACUAUUUUUGUACCAUUGUUUCAGCAUAUUUUGGACGCAUCUUCUUUAUUACUGAAUACCUCUCUUUUGUGUGUCUUGAUUCUGAAGCAUAUGUAAGCCUGGUUACUCCGUAUUUUGAUUCUGAAGCAUGUGUGAGGCUGCUGUAUUUUUGGACAGUGGAUUUAUAGAGAUUGUGACUGUCACACAGGGAAGACAUUUGAUUUCCUGUGUUCUUUGGGUCCACAUUAUUCCUCAGGCGUUAUGCUUACGGAAAUAUAUGUUCUCACGCUGAUGUAUUCCUCCGAUGGUAGGCAUUGGAGUAGAGUAGGAACUAAAGUUUAAACUACAUAGUUUCUCCCUAACGUCUGGCCUAGAAGCAAUGAUCUCAAUUCUUAUGUACUUUAGUUUCUUAUGUCUGUCAAUGUUAAAUUCCACGACUUCAUUCAUGUUUUUUUAUUCUUGAGAAGGUGCAGGAGGCGGGAGUUGGGCCUGGAGUGGUUCCGUGGUUGACUUGGAGUCUAGCAGCCAGCCGUUUAGUCCAUUUUUACUUUGAUGUCUACUGGUCCAUUAGUCUUUAAUUCCUAAAGCUGUACGUAGAAAAAAUGGGGGCCCUGUGCAGCUCCACAGGUUGCACAUGUGAAUGUAUAGCCCUGUCUGCUGAUCUUAGCUCUAUACAUGGAUGUUCAGGCAGUCAUUCUGUGUGGAUCUGUAAGCCAUGUUAAAAUUUUGUCAAGGCACCAGAUCAAUUCUUUUGCAAGCUAGUGUGUUUGCAAAUAAUCUUGCAAGAUAUUUUUCAUACAAGAUGACCUAGUGGAGUACCCAAAUAAAAACUAUUGAGCUCUUUCAGUAAAAAGUACUAUAGUGAUGAUGUUAUGGUAAGUGUAGAAAAACAUACAUAUUUGUUAAUGCUUCACAAUGAAGGAAUAGACAUUGUGAUGUGUCUAUUAUUAUACUUGGUACAUGGUUCACUGGUUAUAUUAGGAAGAGUCUCUGCUAAUAUUGUUCUUGUCAAACUCAUGACCAGUUUUGAGUGAUUAAAAUGUCCAAUGGCUUCGAGGGUUCAACACAUCAUUUUAUCGUACGAUAUGCUCUUUUCUUAUUUGUACAUACAAUAGGCUAUUUGAAAAUGCCAAGGUUUUAUAAAGGAUGGAUUUCUAAUAGCACAAUUAAAUAAUUGUAUUGCCUAAUUCUACUAGUUGUGGCGAAUCUCUAGAAUGCACUAGAGUGGUUUUUCCUAUACAAGAUAAAUAAUGUUUAUAUAAUUUGUUCAUUAUUGGUAAGUUAGGAUUAUCCACAAAAUAGUUGGCUUGUCUGUAAAUUCCAGCAUAGAAACAUACUUUUGUAUUUGUGAUGAAUGCGAUUUCUUCUCCAUUUUUCCUUCCGUGUGGUAUGUGCAUGAAACACAGUCAGAUGGUGUUGUUAAUGCAUUUGAUCAGCUCAUGAUUAAAAAGUUUUAAGUAUGAAUGUACGACACAUACACGGACUUGCACUAACUGAAUCAUAUUUGCUCCGUCCGAUCUCUCCCAGGACAAGAAGCUCGAUGAACAAGAAGCAUUGCAUCUAGAGGCAACUGUCGUGUGUCAUCAAGAUAUCAACGUUGAUGCAAUUUUUAAUGGCAAUUCUUGUUGAGCGAUGAUUAUUAUACUCAUUCAGACUUAGCCUUGCCCGUUAUGUACCAAAGCUGAUGCAAUUUUCACUAGCAAGGCUUGUUGAUCCUGUCAUGUUAUUUAUAACUUGAUAUGAAUGUCUUCUUUUGUUAUGUCUGGGAUGUUCCACUUUGACAUGUACUAAACAAAUUAGUAUUUGUGCCUGGAAUGGUCCAUUUUAACAUAAAGUGCCUGUGCCUAUGAGGGUGGCUUAAUUUU